rnacentral:rRNA from 1 species
UACGAAGGGGGCGAGCGUUGUUCGGAUUUACUGGGCGUAAAGGGCGCGCAGGCGGUCUUGAAAGUCAGGCGUGAAAGCCCCGGGCUUAACCUGGGAAUUGCGCUUGAUACUCUGAGACUGGAGUACGGGAGAGGAGAGUGGAAUUCCGAGUGUAGAGGUGAAAUUCGUAGAUAUUCGGAAGAACACCAGUGGCGAAGGCGGCUCACUGGCCCGUUACCGACGCUCAGGCGCGACAGCGUGGGGAGCAAACAGG